GCGGGCGUGGCGGAAUGGUAGACGCGGCGGGCCUAAACCCCGCUCCCUGCAAGGGGUCCCGGUUCAAGUCCGGGCGCCCGUACCA
rnacentral:tRNA from 1 species